rnacentral:rRNA from 1 species
UACGUAGGGUGCGAGCGUUAAUCGGAAUUACUGGGCGUAAAGGGUGCGCAGGCGGUUGAUUAAGUCAGAUGUGAAAUCCCCGGGCUUAACCUGGGAGCUGCAUUUGAGACUGGUCGGCUAGAGUGUGUCAGAGGGGGGUAGAAUUCCACGUGUAGCAGUGAAAUGCGUAGAGAUGUGGAGGAAUACCGAUGGCGAAGGCAGCCCCCUGGGAUAACACUGACGCUCAGGCACGAAAGCGUGGGGAGCAAACAGG